rnacentral:lncRNA from 1 species
GUGGGCAUCUUGGUAGAUAGGGAUCUAAGGGAGUCCGUGGUCGAGGUUAGGCGAGUGAAUGAUAGGUUAAUGUCUAUUAAGUUGGUUAUUGUUGCGUCCUCAACGUCAUAAGCGCCUACGCGCCGCAAUCGGGCUUAGACGAGGAGGCAAAAAUGCGUUUUUGGGAGGACUUAGAUGAUUUGGUGAGUAGUAUUCCCUAAUCUGAGAAGUUAGUUAUUGGAGGGCACUUUAAUGGUCAUAUUGGG